rnacentral:rRNA from 1 species
AACGAACGCUGGCGGCGUGCUUAACACAUGCAAGUCGAACGCGAAAGGGACUUCGGUCCUGAGUAAAGUGGCGCACGGGUGAGUAACACGUGGAUAAUCUACCCAGUACUCUGGGAUAACAUCUCGAAAGGGGUGCUAAUACCAGAUAAGCUCACGGGAACUUCGGUUCUUGCGGGAAAAGGUGGGGACCUUCGGGCCUACUGAUACUGGAUGAGUCCGCGGCCCAUUAGCUAGUUGGUAGGGUAAUGGCCUACCAAGGCUACGAUGGGUAGCUGGUCUGAGAGGAUGAUCAGCCACACUGGAACUGAGACACGGUCCAGACUCCUACGGGAGGCUG